rnacentral:rRNA from 1 species
AACGAACGCUGGCGGCAUGCCUAACACAUGCAAGUCGAACGAGACCUUCGGGUCUAGUGGCGCACGGGGGCGUAACGCGUGGGAACCUGCCCGUAGGUUCGGAAUAACUCCCCGAAAGGGGUGCUAAUACCGGAUAAUGUCUUCGGACCAAAGAUUUAUCGCCUUUGGAUGGGCCCGCGUUGGAUUAGCUAGUUGGUAGGGUAAAAGCCUACCAAGGCGACGAUCCAUAGCUGGUCUGAGAGGAUGAUCCGCCACACUGGGACUGAGACACGGCCCAGACUCCUACGGGAGGCAGCAGUGGGGAAUAUUGGACACUGGGCGAAAGCCUGAUCCAGCAAUGCCGCGUGAGUGAUGAAGGCCUUAGGGUUGUAAAGCUCUUUUACCCGGGAUGAUAAUGACAGUACCGGGAGAAUAAGCUCCGGCUAACUCCGUG